GGGGUUGUAGGACACUCUAUACGGAGUUACAAAGGACGACAUUAGACGAAUCAUCUGGAAAGAUGAAUCAAAGAAGGUAAUAAUCCUGUAGUCGAAAAUGUUGUCUCUCUUGAGUGGAUCCUGAGUACGACGGAGCACGUGAAAUUCCGUCGGAAUCUGGGAGGACCAUCUCCUAAGGCUAAAUACUCUCUAGUGACCGAUAGUGAACCAGUACCGUGAGGGAAAGGUGAAAAGCACCCCGGAAGGGGAGUGAAAUAGAACCUGAAACCGUGUGCUUACAAGUAGUCAGAGCCCGUUAAUGGGUGAUGGCGUGCCUUUUGUAGAAUGAACCGGCGAGUUACGAUUUGAUGCAAGGUUAAGCAGUAAAUGUGGAGCCGUAGCGAAAGCGAGUCUGAAUAGGGCGUUUAGUA
rnacentral:rRNA from 1 species